AACGAACGCUGGCGGCAGGCUUAACACAUGCAAGUCGAGCGCGCCCUUUCGGGGGUGAGCGGCGGACGGGUGAGUAACGCGUGGGAACGUGCCUUCUUCUCCGGAAUAGCCCUGGGAAACUGGGAGUAAUGCCGGAUACGCCGAGCCAUAGCGAUAUGGGUUGGGAAAGAUUUAUCGGAGGAAGAUCGGCCCGCGUCGGAUUAGGUAGUUGGGGGGGUAACGGCCUACCAAGCAGACGGUCCGUAGCUGGUUUGAGAGGAUGGCGAGCCACACUGGGACUGAGACACGGCCCAGACUCCUACGGGAGGCAGCAGUGGGGAAUCUUGGACAAUGGGGGCAACCUUGAUCCAGCCAUGCCGCGUGAGCGAUGAAGGCCUUAGGGUUGUAAACUGCUUUUAUAAGUGAAGAUUAUGACGGUAACUUAUGAAUAAGGAUCGGCUAACUCCGUGCCAGCCGCCGCAGUAACAC
rnacentral:rRNA from 1 species